ACGGGAGGCAGCAGUGGGGAAUAUUGGACAAUGGGCGAAAGCCUGAUCCAGCCAUGCCGCGUGGGUGAAGAAGGCCUUCGGGUUGUAAAGCCCUGUCGGGAGGGAAGAAACAAAUGACGGUACCUCGCAAGAAAGCACCGGCUAACUCCGUGCCAGCAGCCGCGGUAAUACGGAGGGUGCAAGCGUUGCUCGGAAUCACUGGGCGUAAAGCGACCGCAGGCGGCCUGACAAGUCGGAUGUGAAAGCCCUGGGCUCAACUCAGGAAUAGCAUUCGAAACUGGUAGGCUUGAGUACGGGAGAGGGGGGUGGAAUUCCUGGUGUAGGGGUGAAAUUCGUUGAUAUCAGGAGGAACACCGGCGGCGAAGGCGGCCCCCUGGCCCGCAACUGACGCUCAUGGUCGAAAGCGUGGGGAGCAAACAGGAUUAGAUACCCUGGUA
rnacentral:rRNA from 1 species